rnacentral:rRNA from 1 species
GAUGAACGCUGGCGGCGUGCCUAAUACAUGCAAGUCGAGCGAAUGGAUUAAGAGCUUGCUCUUAUGAAGUUAGCGGCGGACGGGUGAGUAACACGUGGGUAACCUGCCCAUAAGACUAGGAUAACUCCGGGAAACCGGGGCUAAUACCGGAUAACAUUUUGAACAGCAUGGUUCGAAAUUGAAAGGCGGCUUCGGCUGUCACUUAUGGAUGGACCCGCGUCGCAUUAGCUAGUUGGUGAGGUAACGGCUCACCAAGGCAACGAUGCGUAGCCGACCUGAGAGGGUGAUCGGCCACACUGGGACUGAGACACGGCCCAGACUCCUACGGGAGGCAGCAGUAGGGAAUCUGCCGCAAUGGACGAAAGUCUGACGGAGCAACGCCGCGUGAGUGAUGAAGGCUUUCGGGUCGUAAAACUCUGUUGUUAGGGAAGAACAAGUGCUAGUUGAAUAAGCUGGCACCUUGACGGUACCUAACCAGAAAGCCACGGCUAACUACGUGCCAGCCGCCGCGGUAA